rnacentral:tRNA from 1 species
GGUUUCAUAGGUCAGUUGGGUAGAGCGUCGCGCAGGUAUCGCGAGGUCACGGGUUCAAACUCCGUUGAAGUCU